rnacentral:rRNA from 1 species
GUGGGGAAUAUUGGACAAUGGGCGCAAGCCUGAUCCAGCCAUGCCGCGUGAGUGAUGAAGGCCCUAGGGUUGUAAAGCUCUUUCACCGGAGAAGAUAAUGACGGUAUCCGGAGAAGAAGCCCCGGCUAACUUCGUGCCAGCAGCCGCGGUAAUACGAAGGGGGCUAGCGUUGUUCGGAAUUACUGGGCGUAAAGCGCACGUAGGCGGACAUUUAAGUCAGGGGUGAAAUCCCGGAGCUCAACUCCGGAACUGCCUUUGAUACUGGGAGUCUGGAGUAUGGAAGAGGUGAGUGGAAUUCCGAGUGUAGAGGUGAAAUUCGUAGAUAUUCGGAGGAACACCAGUGGCGAAGGCGGCUCACUGGUCCAUUACUGACUCUGAGGUGCGAAAGCGUGGGGAGCAAACAGGAUUAGAAACCCGGGUAGUCC